GUCGGAGUUGCCAAACAGUUGGGUUUUUCUCAACGAUGAUGGUGAAGGUUGCAGUUUGGACCGUCAUAGAUAAUGUGAAGAAGAACACAUUUGUCACUUUUUUGUUCGGGUACUUCUCAACAAACCAUGUCUGAGCAAUGUGCCAAUUGGCUGAGAGAAAACAAGCAAUAAGAAAGAGAAAACUCCCAAAGAUCCAGUUUGAAUUGUAGUGUGAGAGUAGUAAAUGUAAAUGAUGAUCUUCUUGUUUCACAAAGGACUUAGAAGAAGACAUGAUUAAGAGUGGGCCUUUGUAUAGAGUUAUUAAGGAAGCUCCAGACACACCUAAAAUGGUUCCAACACAUUUGGCUUUCCCACUGCUUCUCUUCAAAUCAACCUUCUCCAUUCUGAAAACAACAGCAAGAAGAAAGGUGAAAAUGGGGAUGAGAUUUGAC
rnacentral:misc_RNA from 1 species